GUUUCUCACAUUGCACAUAGACCACAGUUUGUGAAUGACUCUGUACUCCUCUCUCUAUAUACUGUAUAUCAAAAUUUGGAGACAAUUUUCUGAUGGUGGCCUGUGCCCCUGGUAUCAACCAGAUUUAUUUAUUUAUUUAUAAUCAACCAUUCUCUCUAUCUUUCUUUCUACAAUUCAAAUAUAUACAACAUAAAUGCACAAAGCACUAAAUCCCGAUUCAUUGCACAAUCUGCAGUAUUUUUAAUUAAUUUAUUUUUUUUUUACAUCCGAGUGUUUUUUUUUUCCAAAUAACUGAGCAAAGAGGUACUUACUGUGUGUAUUUAUUUUUUUAAGUUCAAAUACAGUUGUUGUGGCAGUUUUCUGUCCUUCUUCUUUCUGAAUUAAAUUAAUUAGAAUAUAACACAAUAUGAAAAAAGGUCUACUGUACCAGUGUGCAGGGCUAUAUUAUCUAUAGUCAUGUUAGCUAUAUUAUUUUAUCAAGACAAAAGGUAAUAAAAAUAAAUAAAUUAGUAAAAAAUCUAUCUAUCUAUCUAUCUAUCUAUCUAUCUAUAUAUAUAUAUAUACAUUAUAAUAAAAACACCGCAUAUUCGUGUGCGCACAUGGGAAGGAGAUACAUUCUUACAUAAACGCGUCUCACUAGAUUUUCUUCCGUUUGUUACUGUGCGCCUUCCAAAAACAACUCAACCUUUUCUGCGAGAAGAGGGGUAACUACUCUAAAAGUUGCUCCAAACGCGAGCACUGGAUCGCCUUCAGGAUGGCCCUUCACGUCAAAGAACUUUUGUCGUGCACGUCCACGUAUGAUCACGUGAUUCGUUUUGGAACCAUACAUCCUGCCUUACAAAUAUUUUUAUUUUCUGUGGAGGAAAGAAAAUUAUACUGAUUUGGAACAACAUGAGGGUGAGUAAAUGAAAGAAACUGCAUGAAGUGUCCCUUUAAAAUACAUUUUAGUCUAAACUGCUAAUUUUAAACUAACCUUGAUUCAUAAUCCCUAUCCUUCAAUAACCCCAGAGUUGGGUACACUGCACUAAAUUUAUCAUGGCUAAUUACAGCUAUCUCAGCCUAACAAAGACCUUGAUACAGUUUCAUAUUUCAUAGAAACUGUCAUAUUUGAUAAACAAAUGCCAUAAUUAUACAGUGACUGGCACUUCAACACAUUAAACGGUUGCUUUAGAAAUGGGUCAGACAGCUUAAUAUGCAAUAAUUUAUUUAACUUCCUCUGGACUUGCUUGUUAAACUGACUAGAUGUUUCCAAGGCUAGACAACUUUGGUGCUUUAGUUUAUGAAAGGCAUCUACAUAGCUUAUAGCGAAAAAUGGCAAGAUAAUUGAAUAAUAUUGUUAACAUUGUCAGGGAAAUAAUAGUUUAAUUUUAGCAGUAGACUGUGUUAUUCUUGCAAUAAAGUGGGAAUGAUGCCAGAUAUGGCUUAUUUAAUUUAAACUCUAGCCUAAAUUAACAUGAAGGUAAAAAAAAAAAAAAAAAAAGUGGAUUUAUAAUUAUCACACGGUUAAAUCGGCUGUGUUGUUGGUGACAGUUUACAUUGUCCCAAAAGCCAUGAACUCAGAUUAACUUUUUGCACACAGCAGAA
ensembl:lncRNA